rnacentral:misc_RNA from 1 species
GAUGAAGAACGCAGCGAAAUGCGAUAAGUAGUGUGAAUUGCAGAAUUCAGUGAAUCAUCGAAUCUUUGAACGCACAUUGCGCCCGCCAGUAUUCUGGCGGGCAUGCCUGUCUGAGCGUCAUUUCAACCCUCAGCCCCCGUUCGCGGGGCGCUGGCGUUGGGGAUCGGCCGUCCUUGCGGCGGCCGGCCCCGAAACACAGUGGCGGUCUCCCGUAGACUCCCCUGCGUAGUAACACUACCUCGCAGAAGGGACGAGCGGGCUGGCCACGCCGUAAAACCCCCCACUUCUCAAGGUUGACCUCAGAUCAGGUAGGAAUACCCGCUGAACUUAAGCAUAUCAAUAAGCGGAGGA